GUUAGGAAUAUUCGUCAAUGGGGGAAACCCUGAACGAGCAAUGCCGCGUGAGUGAUGAAGGUCUUUGGAUUGUAAAACUCUGUUGUAUGGAAAAAACUACUAGGUUAGGAAAUGAACUUAGUUUGAUGGUACCAUACCAGAAAGCCCCGGCUAACUACGUGCCAGCAGCCGCGGUAAUACGUAGGGGGCGAGCGUUAUCCGGAUUUAUUGGGCGUAAAGCGUGUGUAGGCGGCUUGUUAAGUUUAAGAUAAAAGCCUGGGGCUUAACCCCAGUUCGUCUUAAAAACUGGCAGGCUUGAGUGUGGUAGAGGUAAACGGAAUUUCUAGUGUAGCGGUGAAAUGCGUAGAUAUUAGAAGGAACACCAGUGGCGAAGGCGGUUUACUGGGCCAUAACUGACGCUGAGGCACGAAAGCGUGGGUAGCAAAUAGGAUUAGAAACCCUAGUAGUCC
rnacentral:rRNA from 1 species